AUUGAACGCUGGCGGCAGGCCUAACACAUGCAAGUCGAACGAGUGGCGGACGGGUGAGUAAUGUCUGGGAAACUGCCUGAUGGAGGGGGAUAACUACUGGAAACGGUAGCUAAUACCGCAUACCAUCGGAUGUGCCCAGAUGGGAUUAGCUAGUAGGUGGGGUAAAGGCUCACCUAGGCGACGAUCCCUAGCUGGUCUGAGAGGAUGACCAGCAACACUGGAACGGGGGCACGGUCCAGGCUCCUACGGGAGGCAGGAGUGGGGAAUAUUGCACAAUGGGCGCAAGCCUGAAGCAGCCAUGCCGCGUGUAUGAAGAAGGCCUUCGGGUUGUAAAGGGCUUUCAGCGAGGAGGCGUUACCCGCAGAAGGAGCACCGGCUAACUCCGUGCCAGCCGCCGCGGUAAUAC
rnacentral:rRNA from 1 species